AUGGGGGGACCACCCUCCAACCCUAAAUACUACCCAGUGACCGAUAGCGUAUAGUACUGUGAAGGAAAGGUGAAAAGCACCCCGGGAGGGGAGUGAAAAAGAACCUGAAACCCUGUGCCUACAAGCACCUAGAGCACGUCAAUGUGUGAUAGGGUACUUUUUGUAGAACGGUCCGGCGAGCGAUUGUAUGCAGCAAGGUUAAGGACUUAAGGUCUGGAGCCGAAGCGAAAGCGAGUUUGAAAAGGGCGUUAAGUUGCAUACAAUGGGCCCGAAACCGGGUGACCUACCCAUGGUCAGGUUGAAGUGGAAGUAAAAUUCCAUGGAGGACCGAACCGACCUCCGUUGAAAAGGCGGCGGAUGAACUGUGGGUAGCGGAGAAAUUCCAAUCGAACCCGGAGAUAGCUGGUUCUCCCCGAAAUAGUUUUAGGACUAGCCUCAAGUUAGAUACCUGGAGGUAAAGCACUGAAUAGCCUAGCGGCCGAGAGGUUAGCGAAGCUUAUCAAACUCAGAAUGCCAGAGUAUUGAUGCUUGGGAGUCAGACAGUGUCAGAUAAAUGUCAUUGUCAAAAGGGAAACAGCCCAGAUCUACAGCUAAGGUCCCAAAGUCAGGUUAAGUGGAAAACGAUGUGAAGAUACGCAGACAACCAGGAUGUUGGCUCAGAAGCAGCCACUCAUUCAAAGAGUGCGUAAUAGCUCACUGGUCGAGCGUCUUUGCGCGGAGAAUUUAACGGGGCUAAACCUGACACCGAAGCUUAGGCAAUCCAGUAAUGGAUUGGGUAGGGGAGCGUUGUAUACGCGGAGAAACAGUAGCGUAAGCGGCUGUGGAGUGUAUAGAAGUGAGAAUGCCGGAAUGAGUAGCGCGAAUGCAGUGAGAAUCUGCAUGGCCGAAAGCCUCAGGUUUUUGGAGGAAGGUUCGUCCGCUCCAAGUUAGUCGGGAGCUAAGGUGAGGCCGAAAGGCGUAGCCGAUGCACAGACGGUAGAGAUUCCGUCACCACCAAAAGAGUUAAGCACAGGGACACAUUUGAAGUCUCAGAGCCGGGUGUUGGUUCCGGUAGAGAUCGAGGGAAGUUAGUACCGAAGUCUGAGAUGGAAGAUGGCGAGAAAAGCUGUGUGUAUUUCUGAGGUGCCCGUACCGCAAACCGACACAGGUAGGUAGGAAGAAGAUUCUAAGGCCAACGGGAGAAGGGUUGUUAAGGAACUCGGCAAAUUGACCCCGUAACUUCGGGAGAAGGGGUGCUCCAGAGAUGGAGCCGCAGAGAAUCGGCCCAAGCAACUGUUUACCAAAAACACAGGUUUGUGCUAAAUCGAAAGAUGACGUAUACGAGCUGACGCCUGCCCGGUGCUGGAAGGUUAAGAGGAGAUGUGCAAGCAUUGAAUCGAAGCCCCAGUGAACGGCGGCCGUAACUAUAACGGUCCUAAGGUAGCGAAAUUCCUUGUCAGGUAAGUUCUGACCC
rnacentral:rRNA from 1 species